CGGCUUCCGUACGGUACCUGCGGAAGGAUCAUUAUUGAAUGAAACUUCUGGCUGGAUGCUGUUGUGCUGGCCCUUUGCGGCAAUGUGCACACCUCUGGUCAUUUGUUUCUUCUGUUCCACCUGUGCACUGCCUGUAGACACACCGUGUCUAUGAUAUUGGUUACACACACAAUGUUAUGUAUAUUGGUUGGCAUAUAUGAUAUAUAUAUAUAUAUACAACUUUCAACAAUGGAUCUCUUGGCUCUCGCAUCGAUGAAGAACACAGCGAAAUGUGAUAAGUAAUGUGAAUUGCAGAAUCCAGUGAAUCAUCGAAUCUUUGAACGCAUCUUGCGCUCCUUGGCAUUCCGAGGAGCAUGCCUGUUUGAGUGUCAUUAAACUAUCAAAACACUUUUCUUGAAGUGUUUUGGACUUUGGGAGUAUUGUGCUGGUCUGUUUGAGCCAGCUCUCCUCAAAAGCAUUAGCUUUGGAGACCAUCAGUGUGAUAAUUUGUUUACACUGGCUUCUCCUUUUAAAUGCACCCUUGACCUCAAAUCAGUAGACACCCCCGAC
rnacentral:rRNA from 1 species